rnacentral:tRNA from 1 species
UAUAACUCAGUGUAAAGCACAUGCUUAGCAUGCAUGAGGUCCUGGGUUCAAACCCCAGUA